rnacentral:rRNA from 1 species
CGGUAAUUCCAGCUCCGAUAGCGUAUAUUAAAGUUGUUGCGGUUAAAAAGCUCGUAGUUGGAUUUCUGCCGAGGACAUCCGGUCCGCCCUCUGGGUGAGCAUCUGGUUUGGCCUGGGGAACGUAUCUGCACUUCAUUGUGUGGUGCGGUAUCCAGGACUUUUACUUUGAGGAAAUUAGAGUGUUUCAAGCAGGCCUACGCCUUGAAUACAUUAACAUGGAAUAAUAAGAUAGGACUUCGGUUCUAUUUGGUUGGUUUCUAGAACUGAAGUAAUGAUUAAUAGGGAUAGUUGGGGGCAUUCGUACUUAACUGUCACAGGUGGAAUUCUUGGAUUUGUUAAAGACGAACUACUGCGAAAGCAUUUGCCAAGGAUGUUUUCAUUGAUCAAGAACGAAAGUUAGGGGAUCGAAGACGAUCAGAUACCGUGCUAGUCUUAACCAUAAACCAUGCCGACUAGAGAUUGGAGGUCGUUUCAUUACGACUCCUUCAGCUCCUUAUGAUAAAUCAAAGUCUUUGGGUUCCGGGGGGAGUAUGGUCGCAAGGCUGAAACUUAAAUGAAUUGACGGAAGGGCACCGCCAGGAGUGGAGCCUGCGGCUUAAUUUGACUCAACGCAGGGAAACUUAUCAGGUCCUAACAUAAUGAGGAUGGUCAGAAUGACAGUUCUUUUUCGAUUCUAUGGGUGGCAUGUCCGUUUUUAGUUAGUGAAGUGAUUAGUUUGUUUAAUUACGUAAACGAACGAGACCUUAACAUAUUAAAUAGUUACGCGAAACUCUCGUGUCGAGGCUAACUUAUUAGAGGGACUUGUCGUAUGCAACGCAAGGAAGUUCGAGACAAUAUCAGGUAUGUGAUUCGAUUAGAUGUUCUGGGCUCCACGCACACUACUCCAAUGCACUCAACGAGAUUAUAACCCUGUCCAGUAGGGUAGUGUAAUGUUAUGAAAUUGCAUCGGGAUGGGGAUAGAGUAUUUCAUAUUCUUAUCCUGCAACGAGUCUACUAUGGCUUGUGUCAUCAGCGUCGUGUAGAUUACGUUCCCUGUAGCAGAGUACGCACCAAGCAAGGGUGAAUCCAGCACACGUGGC